GCCAAUGUGGUGUAGUGGUUUGAAUGUUGGACUACAACUCUAGACACCAGGGUUCAAAUACCCAGUUGGCC